rnacentral:tRNA from 1 species
GCCCCCGUAGCUCAGCCCGGAUAGAGCAUUGGGGUCCUAACCCAAGGGUCGCAGGUUCAAAUCCUGUCGGGGGCG